AGUGAGAAUGCCGGCAUGAGUAGCGCAAAACAUGUGAGAACCAUGUUCCCCGUAAACCUAAGGUUUCCGACGGAAGGUCAGUCCGCGUCGGGUUAGUCGGGCCUUAGCCGAGGCCGAAAGGCGUAGGUGAUGGACAUCCGGUUAAUAUUCCGGAACCACUCAAAUGGAGCGAUGAAGGGACGCGGCGUGGUAGGUCAGCCCCUUAACGGAUUGAGGUGCCAAACGCGUAGGACGUUGAAGGGUGUAGGUAAGUCCGCACCCCGAGUCCGAAACGUGAUGGCGGUGCCUUAGAGCCACAAGUGAUUGAGCCAUGCCGCCUAGAAAAGCUUCUAAGCGUCGAGAUUUGAGUGACCGUACCGCAAACCGACACUGGUAGGUGGGUAGAAUAUACCAAGGGGAGCGAGAGAACCCUCGUUAAGGAAUUAGGCAAAUUUCCCCCGUACGUUCGCAAUAAGGGGGGCCUCUGGUGGUAAGCUUAGGCAAAGCCGCUGGAGGCCGCAGAGAAAUGGCUCUUCCAACUGUUUAACAAAAACACAGGUCUCUGCUAAGUCAAAAGACGAAGUAUAGGGGCUGACGCCUGCCCAGUGCUGGAAGGUUAAGGGGAGAGGUUAGGGGUAACCCGAAGCUUUGAGCCGAAGCCCCAGUGAACGGCGGCCGUAACAAUAACGGUCCUAAGGUAGCGAAAUUCCUUGUCGGGUAAGUUCCGACCCGCACGAAUGGCGUAAUGAGAGGAGCACUGUCUCAACGAGGGACUCGGCGAACAUUGAAGGACGUGUGAAGAUACACGUGACCCGCAGCGGGACAAAAAGACCCCGUGAAGCUUUACUACAACUUGCCAUUGAGUUAGGGCUAAACUUGUGUAGAAUAGGUGGGAGGCUUUGAAGCUGGGACGCCAGUCUCGGUGGAGCCACCGUUGAAAUACCACCCUGGUUUAGUCUUGGCUCUAACCUGUCGCCGUUAUCCGGCAUGGGAACAGUGGCUGGUGGGUAGUUUGACUGGGGCGGUCGCCUCCGAAAGCGUAGCAGAGGCGCCCAAAGGUUCCCUCAGGCUGAAUGGAAACCAGCCGUUGAGUGUAAAGGCACAAGGGAGCUUGACUGCAAGACCUACAAGUCGCGCAGGGACGAAAGUCGGGCUUAGUGAUCCCACGGUUCAGAGUGGAAUGGCCGUGGCUUACCGGAUAAAAGCUACUCCGGGGAUAACAGGGUAGUCUGGUCCAAGAGUUCAUAUCGACGACCAGGUUCGCCACCUCGAUGUCGGCUCAUCACAUCCUGGGGCUGGAUAGGGUCCCAAGGGUUGGGCUGUUCGCCCAUUAAAGUGGUACGUGAGCUGGGUUCAGACCGUCGUGAGACAGGUCGGUCUCUAUCCGCUGUGCGCGUAAGGGAUUUGAGAGAAGCUGCCCCUAGUACGAGAGGACCGGGGUGGACGGACCUCUAGUGUGCCAGUCGUUCUGCCAAGAGCAUUGCUGGGUAGCUACGUCCGGCAGGGAUAACCGCUGAAAGCAUCUAAGUGGGAAACUCGUCUCAAGAUUAGAUCCCUCCUC
rnacentral:rRNA from 1 species